rfam:Salmonella enterica subsp. enterica serovar Newport str. S09097 S_Newport_S09097_mira454_c664, whole genome shotgun sequence.
CCCAGAGGUAUUGAUAGGUGGAAUCAACGUCAUUGUUGAUCACACGAAUUACACCAACCUGCGUAGAGAUGCGCUAGGUUUUUUUU